rnacentral:rRNA from 1 species
GACAGGGGGCUCGAGCGUUAAUCGGAAUCACUGGGCUUAAAGGGUGCGUAGGCGGGCCAGUAAGCGUCUUGUGAAAUCCCACGGCUCAACCGUGGAACUGCUGGGCAUACUGGACAUCUCGAGGCACUCAGGGGCGAGCGGAACAAGUGGUGGAGCGGUGAAAUGCGUAGAUAUCAACUUGGAACGCCAAUGGUGAAGACAGCUCGCUGGGGGUGUCCUGACGCUGAGGCGCGAAAGCCAGGGGAGCGAACGGG